rnacentral:tRNA from 1 species
CAUUAAGAAGCUAAGUAGCAAUAGCCUUUUAAGCUGUAGAUCGAUGAUUUAUAAUCAUCCUUAAUGA